rnacentral:lncRNA from 1 species
CUUGCUCCCCUUCCUCACCCCAAUCCCUACAGCCUCCCGCGCAGCCUGAGCUCUAGGAUUGUGGGUUUUCCAUCCUCCGAAGACAUCACCUUUGCUCAUCUCCCAGGAGAGUCUCGUCCAAAGGAGGGGGGUGCUUUCUGCUUCAGCAGAUCCCACCCCACCCUGGGAUCCGAGGGAGCAAUGGUGGGGCGAGUGAGGGUCUGCCGUAAAUAUCCCCCGACCACCCUCUGGGAAGGUGCUAGAGGCCACAGGCAAAUUUCAGUCUCCCCAUGGAAUAUCUGCUGUGCUGCUGCUGCUGCUGCUGCUGGUGUGUGUAUGUGGGGGAGGUGUGUGUGUGUGUGUGUGUGUGGGGGGGGGGGGGAUGUGUGUGUGGGGGGGGUAGGGUGGGGGGAGGGAGGGUUUGCGGCCACCCACCCUUUCUCUUCCCCUCCCGUCCUCUUCCCUCCUCCUCUGCCGGGGCCACACUCACAUUGCGCCUGGACAGCCUUUGGAGUGAGGGCUUCUCCAGAGAUAUUUCCCCCACACUCUGGGUCCAGGCAUCUGGAACUGGACAUCUGGGACCUGCGAGAGAACUGGCCCAGGAUAGGGAACAAAAGACCAGAAGACAGUGGAAUAUCUCUAAAAUGCUGAAGGAAAAAAAAAGUCAACUCAGAAUUGUUUUUCUAGUGAAAGUAUUCUUCCAGAAUGAAGAUGAAAUAAAGCUAUUUUCAGAUAAAAGAAAACAGAGAUUCUUGUCGCCAGCAGACCUCCACUAUGAGAAGCGCUAAAGAAAGUUCUUUAGGACGGGCACGAUAGCUCACGCCUAUAAUCCCAGCAUUUUGGGAGGCCAAGGUGGGAGGAUUGCUUGAGCUCGGAAGAUGGAGGCUGCAGUGAGCCAUGACGGUGCCACUGCACUCCAGCUUGGGUGACAGAGUGAGACGCUGUCUCAAAUUGGAAGAGCAGAG